CCUACGGGGAGCAGCAGUGAGGAAUAUUGGUCAAUGGCCGAGAGGCUGAACCAGCCAAGUCGCGUGAGGGAAGAAUGUCCUAUGGAUUGUAAACCUCUUUUGUCAGGGAGCAAAGUCACCCACGUGUGGGUGUUGGAGAGUACCUGAAGAAAAAGCAUCGGCUAACUCCGUGCCAGCAGCCGCGGUAAUACGGAGGAUGCGAGCGUUAUCCGGAUUUAUUGGGUUUAAAGGGUGCGUAGGCGGGUUAUCAAGUCAGCGGUAAAAUCGUGGAGCUCAACUCCAUCCAGCCGUUGAAACUGGGGGCCUUGAGUGGGCGAGAAGAAGGCGGAAUGCGUGGUGUAGCGGUGAAAUGCAUAGAUAUCACGCAGAACCCCGAUUGCGAAGGCAGCCUUCCGGCGCCCUACUGACGCUGAGGCACGAAAGUGCGGGGAUCGAACAGGAUUAGAUACCCUAGUAGUC
rnacentral:rRNA from 1 species